rnacentral:rRNA from 1 species
UCCAGACUCCUACGGGAGGCAGCAGUGAGGAAUAUUGGUCAAUGGGCGCGAGCCUGAACCAGCCAAGUCGCGUGAGGGAUGACGGCCCUACGGGUUGUAAACCUCUUUUGCCGGGGAGCAACGGGCGCCACGUGUGGCGCCACUGAGAGUACCCGGAGAAAAAGCAUCGGCUAACUCCGUGCCAGCAGCCGCGGUAAUACGGAGGAUGCGAGCGUUAUCCGGAUUUAUUGGGUUUAAAGGGUGCGUAGGCGGAUCGUUAAGUCAGUGGUCAAAUUGAGGGGCUCAACCCCUUCCCGUCAUUGAAACUGGCGCUCUUGAGUGGAAGAGAAGUAUGCGGAAUGCGUGGUGUAGCGGUGAAAUGCAUAGAUAUCACGCAGAACCCCGAUUGCGAAGGCAGCUUACUAAACUGUGACUGACAUUGAUGCUCGAAAGUGUGGGUAUCAAACAGGAUUAGAUACCCGGGUAG